UGUCAGGCCUCUGAGCCCAAGCCAAGCCAUCGCAUCCCCUGUGACUUGCAUGUAUACGCCCAGAUGGCCUGAAGUAACUGAAGAAUCACAAAAGAAGUGAAUACGCCCUGCCCCCACCUUAACUGAUGACAUUCCACCACAAAAGAAGUGUAAAUGGUCGGUCCUUGCCUUAAGUGAUGACAUUACCUUGUGAAAGUCCUUUUCCUGGCUCAUCCUGGCUCAAAAAGCACCCCCACUGAGCACCUUGCGACCCCCACUCCUGCCCACCAGAGAACAAACCCCCUUUGACUAUAAUUUUCCUUUACCUACCCAAAUCCUAUAAAACGGCCCCACCCUUAUCUCCCUUCACUGACUCUCUUUUCGGACUCAGCCCGCCUGCACCCAGGUGAAAUAAACAGCCAUGUUGCUCACACACAGCCUAUUUGGUGGUCUCUUCACACAGACG
rnacentral:lncRNA from 1 species